rnacentral:ncRNA from 1 species
CAAAGGUUUGGUCCUGACUUUCUUGUCAGCUCUAGCUAGAUUUACACAUGCAAGUAUCCGCACCCCUGUGAGGAUGCCCCACAGUCUCCUGCCCGGAGGCGAGGAGCAGGUAUCAGGCACGAUUAACACCAGCCCACGACACCUUGUUUAGCCACACCCCCAAGGGAAUUCAGCAGUGAUAGACAUUAAGCUAUAAGUGAAAACUUGACUUAGUUAAGGCUAAGAGGGCCGGUAAAACUCGUGCCAGCCACCGCGGUUAUACGAGAGGCUCAAGUUGACAGGUACCGGCGUAAAGCGUGGUUAGGGAAAUCUUUAAACUAAAGCCGAACUUGCUCAGAGCUGUUUAACGCUUACGAGCUAAGAAGCCCCAUUACGAAAGUAGCUUUAACAAACCUGAUCCCACGAAAGCUGAGAAACAAACUGGGAUUAGAUACCCCACUAUGCUCAGCCGUAAAAAUUGAUAGGGCAGCACAAAUACCUAUCCGCCCGGGUACUACGAGCACCAGCUUAAAACCCAAAGGACUUGGCGGUGCUUCACAUCCGUCUAGAGGAGCCUGUUCUAGAACCGAUAACCCCCGUUAAACCUCACCCUUCCUUGCUAAUUCCGUCUAUAUACCGCCGUCGUCAGCCUACCCUGUGAAGGACUAGAAGUGGGCGAAAUCGGCACAGCCCAAAACGCCAGGUCGAGGUGUAGCGUAUGGAGGGGGAAGAAAUGGGCUACAUUUCCUGAGACAGGAAACACGAAUAAUGCACUGAAAUAAGCAUUUGAAGGUGGAUUUAGCAGUAAGCAGAAAACAGAGUGUUCUGCUGAAACUUCGGCAAUAAAGCACGCACAUAUCGCCCGU